UGAGUUUCAGAUUGAACUCUGUCAUGACUCCAACUAACUGUCUUUGUUGAAACCGAAUAGAAGAUCGGUUUACACAAUUAUUUCACUUCAUCUUAUAAUGAUUUUAUGACAAUUGGUCCAUAUCCUUAGAGUCAUAUGAGAGUAGUCACUGUGAACAAAGACACACAAGAGUAAUAACCACAGAGUCUUAUAUCAUUUGGACUUUUAACAUACAGUUGCCAUUAGUCUAUACCAUUAAUCCGUGCAUUACAAGAAUGUGUGUUGCGUCAAGAGGGGUGUUGGACUGAGACACUGGCUUUUCCCAUCACCUGUCAAGACACUACAAAGACAGCCAGCUGCUGAGUCAUCUCUGUGCCUGAGCCAAAUGUGGCCCAGACCUGGCGACUGUCGCCAGGCUCCGAGUCACACCACAGCCACUGUCACACCACCACGACUCAGCAAUGAGCUUCCCCUCAGCUUCUGUAAAUACCUUCUGUGGAAGCCCAGCACGGGGCUUAACGUCUGGAGUUCAGGAUGGAGAGAGAUCCAACUGCCUCGACCGCAAGGCAACAGAGAGAUCUAUCUCUCAAAUCUGCCAGAACAUUUUUGGAGAUGCCCUGCUGUCUAUUGGAAAAAGAAGAAAUAAAAUGGCCUCUAGGCAAUACACAUUGCACUGAAUAAACAAUAUCAGACUGAAUUAAUACCUUAAAAUGUGAUUUUCACAAGAUGACUGACAUUUUCACAAGAUGGUUGAGGGACAUGGAAAUUAUUUCUUAUUUCUGUUUGUUUAUAAUGACAAACAAACGUGUGCAGGUUGAUGUUAUGUCUGAAAUGCAAGAAUGAGCACAGGGCAUUAUGAUUUGUUUCUGCUUGUAAAGUCUGAGGUACCUUUUCCUUGAAUAAGAUACUCAAGCUAGAGCAAUUUUCUGUACCUUUUGUGAGAAAAUGUCAUUCAUCAUUCCACAAAACCUGGUAAUCAAGGACAAUCAGGAAAUGUAAUGAAAACAAAAGCAUUAGCUCCCAUAUAUAAAUCUACAUUAAUGUUCACAGUGUUUUGUACUGUGAAAAGACAUACUGAGGCAAAAUACUUUGUGGUUAAGGAAACAAGAAAUAAUUCUAAAAAGCUUUGGUGAGAGUUUCCUACCAAGGAUGAAAUGAAUAAUACACAAAUGUGGAGCAGAGGGCUGCAGCUGUGAUCUUUGGCAGUUUGCGAUGAACAUUCAUUAAGAUCUCCUCCUAAUUGUCCAGGAACUUCAGAAAUGCCUCUCUUUCAAUAUUCAACCGAUAAAUUGUUUAUGGUAGCACCAACAUGAAUUGCACUGAAAAAAACUACAUAUGUGAUGCUUGAUGAUAUUAAGCUUAAGCCCCAAUGAUGGAAAGUUAAGAUCAUUUAGUUUAUUCACAUUGGCAUAAUUAUGCCUAUUAUAUAAUACUUUUGUUUUCUCAGGAUUUACUUGGGAAUCCAGCUGACAAUAAAAGUUGGUUCAGGCUAA